rnacentral:rRNA from 1 species
CAGCAGCCACGGUAAUACGUAGGGUGCGAGCGUUAAUCGGAAUUACUGGGCGUAAAGCGUGCGCAGGCGGUUUUGUAAGACAGGCGUGAAAUCCCCGGGCUCAACCUGGGAAUGGCGCUUGUGACUGCAAAGCUAGAGUGCGGCAGAGGGGGAUGGAAUUCCGCGUGUAGCAGUGAAAUGCGUAGAUAUGCGGAGGAACACCGAUGGCGAAGGCAAUCCCCUGGGCCUGCACUGACGCUCAUGCACGAAAGCGUGGGGAGCAAACAGGAUUAGAUACCCGGGUAGUCCCUGUCUCUUAUAC